CGUGACUCAAGGACAGGAACAGUACAGCGAACCUAGAAAUGGAAGAGAUUUAUGUGGCACUCCAGUAGAGAAUGACCCUUCAGUGAUCCAUAGUACAAGUAGAAGACAGAGAAAGAAGCUGUGAUGUCAGAUGUGAUGUAGGGAUGGAAUGAUUUGCGCAAGGAUGCCAAACCUUCCAUGAGCUUCUGAGAAAACAGGGCAGUGACGUUAUCAUCUGCUUUCUAGUGCGGGCAAGUCUGAGGCAGUCGGUGAUGUCUGGCGUGUUUUAGCAUCAAGCUGCUAACCAAGUAUACAUAGUUCAUAGAAACAUAUUGGUAAUUGUAGCAGAAAAAACAUCUUCCACGGAGUUUGACUUUGAAACAGGUUUAAAAUGAUAAAUUCCCUUGUUUUACUAUCUUGGAUAUUAUUCUUCAUAAAAAAAAGUAUGGAUGGGGAGAAUGCCUGCAGAUAGUAUCAGAAGUAUUUAAUGAUAGAUUGGCAUAAAACAUUUGUGUUUUAUUUAUACAUGUAUUUAUUUGAGACUGGGUGCAAAACAGGUGAGUGAGCUACUACACUGUAUGUGUACAUCCACUCAUCCAUCCAUCCAUCCAACCUCCAAUCGCGAGGGGCUAGGAGCCUAUUCCAGGCGGCUUAGGGCCCGCAGCAGGGGUGCACCCAGGAUGAAAGUCCAUUGCAGGGCAC